ACGACAGAAUCUGAUCUACCUGCUUCUUGGUUAGAUAAUUAGAUUAUGCUGUAGCCGAGUUCCGGUUUGCUGUUGUUCUCCAUUCCCAUUCGCUCAGAGCUAGCUCCUAUCAGUUUCUGUUCUAGCUGUUCAUCCUGACAAGAUUAGAUUAGUGUGCCAUGUGAGGACCGAAAAAAAAAUAAGCAGUAUAUUUCUACUACUCUAUGCAUAAUCCCAUGGGCCACCAGCUUCGCAUUGACCUGAAUCUUUUUUUUGGAUCUCAUGAUCUGGGUGCAUGGUAUGAUGAUUCCCGUCAUCGGAAAGGAACAGCUAUGCAUUUGCUUGGAAUCUAGUUGGUUAAUGAUCCAGUGGCAUGGAUCACGAUGCAUGCCGACUGAAGAUAAAGGGUAGAAGCUUUAAGGCAGCCUAGUCCUUAUGAAAUGGUAAGGCUUUCCCUUUGAUGACGGACUCCAUUCAUCUACUUCGAAGGAAUUUCUGUUGUGCGCAUGUUCUUGUAUUUCCUGAAUGUGUUGUCGCUUUCUUGUUUAGUCUAAGAUAGAGCAGAGGGUUAUUUUUAGAUGAUGGACCAAAUGAUUUAUCAGCAGUUGAAGACAUGGUUGUCUGGUUGCAGUUGCUUGCUAGCUAACCAUUUAUAAUAUUUCCAAAUCUGCAACUUGGAGGCUCGAGACCGUGCGGGAAGUUGAUUGUUUCAUUAAAAUCAAAUUGGUCAGAAUUGGAUGAGAUAACCAGGGAUGCAGAUACCUAAUGAAUCAGAACAUACUAUAUGAGAUAAGGGAUGCAGAUACCUAAUGAAUCACAAGGAAUAUCACAUAGUCAAUGCACCAAGAGGAGUAGAGGAAAUGGUAGCUAACCUCUCUUCUUGCAAAUACUCAAAUGUUUCCAUCUGUUGAUUCAAUACAGUUCAUUUGGCCAAAAUUUGCAUUAGAUUCCUUGUAAAAAAUAGUCGAGUGUCGCUCUCGGCCUGCUGGAGAACUGAUGGCUUCCAUUUCGAGCCUUGUCAUUGUAGCUGUUUAAAUACUAAUUAAGAUUCAGUU